AGCAUAUCAAUAAGCGGAGGAAAAGAAACUAACAAGGAUUCCCCUAGUAACUGCGAGUGAAGCGGGAAAAGCUCAAAUUUAAAAUCUGGCGUCUUCGGCGUCCGAGUUGUAUUCUGGAGAAGCGUCUUCCGCGUUGGACCGUGUACAAGUUUCUUGGAACAGAACAUCAUAGAGGGUGAGAAUCCCGUCUUUGACACGGACUACCAAUGCUUUGUGAUGCGCUCUCAAAGAGUCGCGUUGUUUGGGAAUGCAGCGCAAAAUGGGUGGUAUAUUCCAUCUAAAGCUAAAUAUUGGCGAGAGACCGAUAGCGAACAAGUACCGUGAGGGAAAGAUGAAAAGCACUUUGGAAAGAGAGUUAAACAGUACGUGAAAUUGUUGAAAGGGAAACGAUUGAAGUCAGUCGCGUUGUAUGAGACUCAGCCUUGCUUCUGCUUGGUGUAUUUCUUGUUCAACGGGCCAGCAUCGAUUUUAGUUGUUGGAUAAAGUUGAGAGGAAUGUGGCAUCUUCGGAUGUGUUAUAGCCUUUCUUCGCAUACAACAGCCGGGAUCGAGGUCUGCAGCACGCCUUUUGGCCGGGGUUCGCCCACGUACGUGCUUAGGAUGCUGGCGUAA
rnacentral:rRNA from 1 species